ACCAGUCAGUCUCAGGUCAUGUCCCUCCCAGUCAGUCUCAGCUCGAGUCCCUCCCAGUCAGUCUCAGGUCGAGUCCCUCCCAGUCAGUCUCAGGUCGAGUCCCUCCCAGUCAGUCUCUGGUCAUGUCCCUCCCAGUCAGUCUCAGGUCAUGUCCCUCCCAGUCAGUCUCAGCUCGAGUCCCUCCCAGUCAGUCUCAGGUCAUGUCCCUCCCAGUCAGUGUCAGGUCGAGUCCCUGCCAGUCAGUCUCAGGUCGAGUCCCUGCCAGUCAGUCUCAGGUCGAGUCCCUGCCAGUCAGUCUCAGGUCGAGUCCCUCCCAGUCAGUCUCAGCUCGAGUCCAUACCAGUCAGUCUCAGAUCGACUCCGUACCAGUCAGUCUCAGGUCAUGUCCCUCCC
ensembl:lncRNA